rnacentral:lncRNA from 10 species
CUGGCACUUUCUUGCUUAAUCUAUGACCUUCCGUAUUUAAUUUAAAUAAAUCGAAUACUACUGACCUAUAAUAAUAGAGGCCUGCGAGCGGCAGAGAGGACGCUAAUAAAGUAAUUAGCAUAGGCCUGGCACAGUAGGUGGUAAACAAGUGAUAGCCAUGAUUAAUGAUGAGCUCUCUGUGGGUUGGUUUCCAAGCUGUGACUGUCAACCCGCAGCAUUCCACAAAAGACUAAUAUUCUUUCUGUGAAUGUGGCCAAAUACAUACUUUGGGGAAUGUUGGGUUAAACCCAGGAACCUUGCUGGGGGCGUCUCAGAGCCUCCUCUGCAUGCACGAUCACCUGUCGGAAGGAAAGAGGUCUGGGCUUAUCACAUCACAACUGGGACUAACCCUUCAUCUCUCACAGGGGCAGGUCAUGACUGAGCAGAAGGGAUGGAGCUUACGAACGGAUUGUCAGUUUGCUUUUCCCCAGAGUUGUUUAAAAACAAGCCCAUUAUCUGCAAUGGCCCGGCUCCCAUCUGCCGCUGCACCAGAGCGGCCCAGGGCCUGGGUUGUGGGGGAGGGGGGCAUCCUUACAGCUGCUGACCGGGGUUUGCAGAGCUCUCGUCCACCAGGCGGUCAUACUCCAGCAGGAACUCGUCCAGCUCGCCGGAGUCCCCGAAGGCGCCCCACUCGGUGAAAAUGGAAGUAAGAGAAGUAUAGAACCACACGGCUGUGCGCACAGCAGAUAACUGAUCUGAUUGGAUUGCUCCUCAGUGAAGGCUGGUUAUAAUGACCUCCGGAACUUCUGAGAAAGGUCCGAGUUGGUGUGGAAGACCCCUCUGCUGGGAGGGGCGGACUGCUGCUCCCUUUCCUGGUACCUGCCUUCACUUUGGGUGGGGGCAGGGGCAGGGGCAGGCCCGUGGAAAGACCAUUCGGGUGGAGAUGGUACCACUUUUGCUUAUCCUCUUCCACUUGGACCAAUCUGUCCAGUUGGUCAAUUUACCAGAUAAGUGUUUUAAUUAUAAUCCUGAUGGGUGAGGUGGAUAUGCAGCUGGCAUACCAUCUGAUGCAGGAAUGUGGCAUCAUGGCGUUGAAAUGCUUCCUACUGUACACGGUGCUUCCAUCUUGAUACCCCAAGACCACCCAGGCUGUAGCACCAGGCUCUGCUCUGACAUCACCGGUUGUUAA